AUACGGAGGAUCCGAGCGUUAUCCGGAUUUAUUGGGUUUAAAGGGUGCGCAGGCGGCCAUUUAAGUCAGCGGUUAAAUCGUGGGGCUCAACCCCAUUCUGCCGUUGAUACUGGGUGGCUUGAUUGCGGUCGAGGUUGGCGGAAUUCGUUGUGUAGCGGUGAAAUGCAUAGAUAUGACGAAGAACACCGAUUGCGUAGGCAGCUAACCAGAACGCAAAUGGCGCACAUGCUCGAAAGCGCGGGGAUCGAACAGGAUUAGAUACCCUGGUAGUCCGGAAAGGAAACGAUGAAUACGUGUAUUCGGCGAUAGAAUGUCGGAGGCAAAGCGAAAACAAUAAGUAUUCCACCUGGGGAGUACGCCGGCACCGGGGAAACUCAAAUGAAUUGACGGGG
rnacentral:rRNA from 1 species